AACACAUGCAAGUCGAACGGAAAGGCCCUUCGGGGUACUCGAGUGGCGAACGGGUGAGUAACACGUGGGCAACCUGCCCCUAGCUCUGGGAUAACUCCGGGAAACCGGUGCUAAUACCGGAUACACACCUUUUGAGGCAUCUCAGAUGGUGGAAAGUUUUUCGGCUAGGGAUGGGCCCGCGGCCUAUCAGCUUGUUGGUGGGGUAAUGGCCUACCAAGGCGACGACGGGUAGCCGGCCUGAGAGGGCGACCGGCCACACUGGGACUGAGACACGGCCCAGACUCCUACGGGAGGCAGCAGUGGGGAAUAUUGCGCAAUGGGCGAAAGCCUGACGCAGCGACGCCGCGUGAGGGAUGACGGCCUUCGGGUUGUAAACYUCUUUCAGYUCUGACGAAGNGCAAGUGACGGUAGGAGCAGAAGAAGCACCGGCCA
rnacentral:rRNA from 1 species